rnacentral:rRNA from 1 species
AGUGAACGCUGGCGGUAGGCCUAACACAUGCAAGUCGAACGGCAGCACAGUAAGAGCUUGCUCUUACGGGUGGCGAGUGGCGGACGGGUGAGGAAUACAUCGGAAUCUACUUUUUCGUGGGGGAUAACGUAGGGAAACUUACGCUAAUACCGCAUACGACCUACGGGUGAAAGCAGGGGAUCUUCGGACCUUGCGCGAUUGAAUGAGCCGAUGUCGGAUUAGCUAGUUGGCGGGGUAAAGGCCCACCAAGGCGACGAUCCGUAGCUGGUCUGAGAGGAUGAUCAGCCACACUGGAACUGAGACACGGUCCAGACUCCUACGGGAGGCAGCAGUGGGGAAUAUUGGACAAUGGGCGAAAGCCUGAUCCAGCAACACCGCGUGGGUGAAGAAGGCCUUCGGGUUGUAAAGCCCUUUUGUUGGGAAAGAAAAGCAGCAGGUUAAUACCCCGCUGUUCUGACGGUACCCAAAGAAUAAGCACCGGCUAACUUCGUG